rnacentral:rRNA from 1 species
CAAUAGCGUAUAUUAAAGUUGUUGCGGUUAAAAAGCUCGUAGUUGGAUUUCUGCUGAGAACGACCGGUCCGCCCUCUGGGUGUGUAUCUGGCUCUUUCUUGGCAUCUUCUUGGUGAACGUUGCUGCACUUGACUGUGUGGAGCGCUACCCAGGACUUUUACUUUGAGGAAAUUAGAGUGUUUCAAGCAGGCAUACGCCUUGAAUACAUUAGCAUGGAAUAAUAAGAUAGGACCUCGGUUCUAUUUUGUUGGUUUCUAGAGCUGAGGUAAUGAUUAAUAGGGAUAGUUGGGGGCAUUCGUAUUUAACUGUCAGAGGUGAAAUUCUUGGAUUUAUUAAAGACGGACUACUGCGAAAGCAUUUGCCAAGGAUGUUUUCAUUGA